rnacentral:misc_RNA from 1 species
CUGAAUAAACAUGGUCAAGGUUGUUGCUGGCUUUUACAUGUUUGUGAAAGCAUGUGCACACCUGUUUUACCAGUUUUAUUUAUCCUCCUGUGCAUCUUUUGUAGAUCUAAAAUGAUAAUAAUACUCGUGCAAAUAUUAUGCUCUCGGAUUUUGGAAAUUGCUGUAGAAUGUGGGCAACAUUGUAACAGCUCUUUUCUUGCAUAUUAGAUCUAUGUUUAUUUGAUUAUAACCUCCCAUAUGUGUUAAAAAGUAUCUGUCAAGGUUGUUAUACCUUUACAAAUAAUACAACUUUCAACAACGGAUCUCUUGGCUCUCGCAUCGAU